GCACCCGUAGCUCAACUGGAUAGAGCACCUGACUACGGAUCAGGAGGUUCGGGGUUCGAACCCCUGCGGGUGCACCA
rnacentral:tRNA from 1 species